UGGGGAAUUUUGGACAAUGGGCGAAAGCCUGAUCCAGCAAUGCCGCGUGUGUGAAGAAGGCCUUCGGGUUGUAAAGCACUUUUGUCCGGAAAGAAAUCCUUGGCUCUAAUACAGUCGGGGGAUGACGGUACCGGAAGAAUAAGCACCGGCUAACUACGUGCCAGCAGCCGCGGUAAUACGUAUGGUGCAAGCGUUAAUCGGAAUUACUGGGCGUAAAGCGUGCGCAGGCGGUUUGCUAAGACCGAUGUGAAAUCCCCGGGCUCAACCUGGGAACUGCAUUGGUGACUGGCAGGCUAGAGUAUGGCAGAGGGGGGUAGAAUUCCACGUGUAGCAGUGAAAUGCGUAGAGAUGUGGAGGAAUACCGAUGGCGAAGGCAGCCCCCUGGGCCAAUACUGACGCUCGUGCACGAAAGCGUGGGGAGCAAAACAGGAUUAGAUACCCCUGGUAGUCCACGCCCUAAAACGAUGUCAACUAGUUGUUGGGGAUUCAUUUCCUUAGUAACGUAGCUAACGCGUGAAGUUGACCGCCUGGGGAGUACGGUCGCAAGAUUAAAACUUAAAGGAAUUGACGGGG
rnacentral:rRNA from 1 species